GCUUACGGCCAUACCAGCCUGUGUACGCCCCUCCUGAUCUCGGAAGCUAAGCAGGGUGGGGCCUGGUUAGUACUUGGAUGGGAGACCGCCUGGGAAUACCAGGUGCUGUAAGCA
rnacentral:rRNA from 1 species